GGAUGAAGAACGCAGCGAAAUGCGAUAAGUAAUGUGAAUUGCAGAAUUCAGUGAAUCAUCGAAUCUUUGAACGCACAUUGCGCCCUCUGGUAUUCCGGGGGGCAUGCCUGUUCGAGCGUCAUUACAACCCUCAAGCUUUGCUUGGUAUUGGACAUUGCCCGGUUUACCGGCAGGUCUUAAAAUCAGUGGCGGUGCCAUUUGGCUUCAAGCGUAGUAAUUCUUCUCGCUUUGGAGAUCCAGGUGGUUACUUGCCAAUAACCCCCAAUUUUUUCAGGUUGACCUCGGAUCAGGUAGGGAUACCCGCUGAACUUAAGCAUAUCAAUAAGCGGAGGA
rnacentral:misc_RNA from 1 species